AUGACUUUGAUCUGCGUCCUCAUCUGGACUCUCCUCUGCUGCUGCUUCACAGAGUCCAGAGGCCAGGUCACAGUGACUCAGCCUGGAGCAGUGAGCUCUGCUCUGGGAGGCUCCGUCUCCAUCAGAUGUAGGACCAGCCAAAAUGUAGAAAGUGGGAACUAUUUAUCCUGGUACCAAAAGAGAGAUGGAGAAACUCCUAAACUCCUCAUUUACUUUGCUAGCACUCGAGCAUCAGGGAUUCCAGAUCGUUUUACAGGCAGUGGAUCAAACUCUGACUUCACUCUGACCAUCAGUGGAGUCCAGACUGAAGAUGCAGCAGUUUACUACUGUCAGAGUCGACACUAUAUCAACAGUCAGUAUGUGUUCACACAGUGAAAAAGCGUCGUACAAAAACCUCCCUCAGUCAGACUGAACAGAAACUGAACUGACUGCUGCAGCUGGAAGCUACUGCAGAGACUGAUACACUUCACUGGACACACACACACAAAACAUACUGCACAUACAAUGGCCAUGACCUUUGACCUCUAUCUCAUUCUGACUCGCAACUAUUUCAACUUUGUCCAGUUUAAAGGAAAUAUAAAGACAGAUCAGCAUCAGACACAGGUGCAGUGGUUAGCACUGUCGUCUCACAGCAAGAAG